AGAGUUUGAUCAUGGCUCAGAACGAACGCUGGCGGCAGGCUUAACACAUGCAAGUCGAGCGCCCCGCAAGGGGAGCGGCAGACGGGUGAGUAACGCGUGGGGAUGUGCCUGGUGGUACGGAACAACUCAGGGAAACUUGAGCUAAUGCCGUAUAAGCCCUUCGGGGGAAAGAUUUAUCGCCACCAGAUCAACCCGCGUUGGAUUAGCUAGUUGGUGAGGUAACGGCUCACCAAGGCGACGAUCCAUAGCUGGUCUGAGAGGAUGAUCAGCCACACUGGGACUGAGACACGGCCCAGACUCCUACGGGAGGCAGCAGUGGGGAAUAUUGGACAAUGGGCGCAAGCCUGAUCCAGCCAUGCCGCGUGAGUGAUGAAGGCCUUAGGGUUGUAAAGCUCUUUCACUGGGGAAGAUAAUGACGGUACCCAGAGAAGAAGCCCCGGCUAACUUCGUGCCAGCAGCCGCGGUAAUACGAAGGGGGCUAGCGUUGUUCGGAAUCACUGGGCGUAAAGCGCACGUAGGCGGACUUUUAAGUCAGGGGUGAAAUCCCAAGGCUCAACCUUGGAACUGCCUUUGAUACUGGCAAGCUUGAGUGCAGGAGAGGAUGGUGGAAUUCCCAGUGUAGAGGUGAAAUUCGUAGAUAUUGGGAAGAACACCGGUGGCGAAGGCGGCCAUCUGGACUGCAACUGACGCUGAGGCGCGA
rnacentral:rRNA from 1 species